GAUGAACGCUGGCGGCGUGCCUAAUACAUGCAAGUCGAGCGAACGGACGAGAAGCUUGCUUCUCUGAUGUUAGCGGCGGACGGGUGAGUAACACGUGGAUAACCUACCUAUAAGACUGGGAUAACUUCGGGAAACCGGAGCUAAUACCGGAUAAUAUUUUGAACCGCAUGGUUCAAAAGUGAAAGACGGUCUUGCUGUCACUUAUAGAUGGAUCCGCGCUGCACUAGCUAGUUGGUAAGGUAACGGCUUACCAAGGCAACGAUGCAUAGCCGACCUGAGAGGGUGAUCGGCCACACUGGAACUGAGACACGGUCCAGACUCCUACGGGAGGCAGCAGUAGGGAAUCUUCCGCAAUGGGCGAAAGCCUGACGGAGCAACGCCGCGUGAGUGAUGAGGGUCUUCGGAUCGUAAAACUCUGUUAUUAGGGAAGAACAUAUGUGUAAGUAACUGUGCACAUCUUGACGGUACCUAAUCAGAAAGCCACGGCUAACUACGUGCCAGCAGCCGCGGUAAUACGUAGGUGGCAAGCGUUAUCCGGAAUUAUUGGGCGUAAAGCGCGUGUAGGCGGUUUUUUAAGUCUGAUGUGAAAGCCCACGGCUCAACCGUGGAGGGUCAUUGGAAACUGGAAAACUUGAGUGCAGAAGAGGAAGGUGGAAUUCCAUGUGUAGCGGUGAAAUGCGCAGAGAUAUGGAGGAACACCAGUGGCGAAGGCGACUUUCUGGUCUGUAACUGACGCUGAUGUGCGAAAGCGUGGGGAUCAAACAGGAUUAGAUACCCUGGUAGUCCACGCCGUAAACGAUGAGUGCUAUGUGUUAGGGGGUUUCCGCCCCUUAGUGCUGCAGCUAACGCAUUAAGCACUCCGCCUGGGGAGUACGACCGCAAGGUUGAAACUCAAAGGAAUUGACGGGGACCCGCACAAGCGGUGGAGCAUGUGGUUUAAUUCGAAGCAACGCGAAGAACCUUACCAAAUCUUGACAUCCUUUGACAACUCUAGAGAUAGAGCCUUCCCCUUCGGGGGACAAAGUGACAGGUGGUGCAUGGUUGUCGUCAGCUCGUGUCGUGAGAUGUUGGGUUAAGUCCCGCAACGAGCGCAACCCUUAAGCUUAGUUGCCAUCAUUAAGUUGGGCACUCUAAGUUGACUGCCGGUGACAAACCGGAGGAAGGUGGGGAUGACGUCAAAUCAUCAUGCCCCUUAUGAUUUGGGCUACACACGUGCUACAAUGGACAAUACAAAGGGCAGCGAAACCGCGAGGUCAAGCAAAUCCCAUAAAGUUGUUCUCAGUUCGGAUUGUAGUCUGCAACUCGACUACAUGAAGCUGGAAUCGCUAGUAAUCGUAGAUCAGCAUGCUACGGUGAAUACGUUCCCGGGUCU
rnacentral:rRNA from 1 species